rnacentral:rRNA from 1 species
GGACGAAAGUCUGACGGAGCAACGCCGCGUGAGUGAUGAAGGUUUUCGGAUCGUAAAGCUCUGUUGUUAGGGAAGAACAAGUGCGAGAGUAACUGCUCGCACCUUGACGGUACCUAACCAGAAAGCCACGGCUAACUACGUGCCAGCAGCCGCAGUAAUACGUAGGUGGCAAGCGUUGUCCGGAAUUAUUGGGCGUAAAGGGCUCGCAGGCGGUUUCUUAAGUCUGAUGUGAAAGCCCCCGGCUCAACCGGGGAGGGUCAUUGGAAACUGGGAAACUUGAGUGCAGAAGAGGAGAGUGGAAUUCCACGUGUAGCGGUGAAAUGCGUAGAGAUGUAGAGGAACACCAGUGGCGAAGGCGACUCUCUGGUCUGUAACUGACGCUGAGGAGCGAAAGCGUGGGAAGCGAACAGGAUUAGAUACCCUGGUAGUCCACGCCGUAAACGAUGAGUGCUAAGUGUUAGGGGGUUUCCGCCCCUUAGUGCUGCAGCUAACGCAUUAAGCGCUCCGCCUGGGGAAUACGGUCGCAAGACUGAAACU